CUCACCCAUCUCAUUGCAAAUCCCACAACUUCUACUGUUAAACUGUUGUUGAAAAAAAUAAGAGUAUGCUUUGGGUUUUGAAGAGUUUAUAUUGAUUGAUAUGUAUAAAGCUCUUGGUAAGCAUAGACUCAUAUAUCGUACUCGCAUUUCAAAUUACGUGAAAACUGGUUUGGUAAACGAAGCACUCCAAGUGUUUGACAAAAUGACUCAAUCAGAUUGUAGAGUUUUCAGCAUUGAUUACAAUAGAAUUAUUGGUGUUUUGGUUCGUACUUCGCAUUUUGAUUUAGCAGAAGGGUAUUAUAAUGAGAUGAAACCAGUUGGGUUUUCUUUGAAUUCAUUGACAUAUUCAAAAUUUAUUUGUGGGUUGUGUAAAGUUAAGAACUUUGAUCUUAUUAGUAGGUUAUUAAAUGAUAUGGAUAGGGUUGGGAUUGUACCCAACUUUUGGGCGUAUAAUAUGUACUUAAAUCUUUUGUGUAGUGAAAAUUUGGUGGAUAUUGCUUUGGAGUUGAUUAGAGUAAUGGGAGAGAAAGGGAGAGAGCCAGAUGUAGUGAGUUAUACUAUUGUUAUUAGUGGGUUGUGUAGGAUUGGACGGUUCGAUAAUGCUGUUGAAAUGUGGCAUACGAUGAUUAGGAAAGGUUUAAGACCAGAUAAUAAGGCAUGCAAAGCUCUUGUUUUUGGGCUGUGUGGGAGUGGUAAGGUUGAUUUGGCUUAUGAGCUGACUUUGGGUAUUCUAAGGGGUCAAGUCAAAUUCAACACGGAAAUAUAUAAUACGCUGAUAAAUGGAUUUUGUCGAGCUGGUAGGAUUGACAAAGCACAAGCAAUUAAGACAUUCAUGAGGAGAAAUGGGUGUGAACCAGAUUUGGUUACUUAUAAUGUGUUCUUGAAUUAUUGUUGUAACGAGCUUAUGUUGGAAGAGGCGGUGAAGUUGAUAGAGAAGAUGGAAGGAAAUGGGUUGGAACCUGAUGGUUACAGCUAUAACCAGCUUCUCAGAGGUUUCUGCAAAGCGAAUAGAUUAGAUAAGGCUUAUAAGUUAAUGGUCGACAAGAUGGAAACCAAAGGAUUGGUAGACGUUGUUUCUUACAAUACUAUUAUUAGAGCACUCUGCAAGACAGACCACAGUAAGAAGGCAUACAAUCUCUUCGAGGAGAUGGAGCAAAAAAAAAUUGUCCCUGAUGUUGUAACUUUUACGAUUCUUAUAGAAGCUUCUCUAAAAGAAGGCAAUUCUAGUGUAGCUAAGGCACUUGUUGAUCAGAUGACCAGUAUGGGCCUUUUUCCUGAUCGUGUACUGUACACUUCUAUUAUAGAUAACCUGUGCAAGACGGGUAAAUUAGGGGUGGCUGAGAGCAUUUUCCGUGAUAUGGUGGAACAGGGUGUUGCUCCUGAUGUUAUCUCAUAUAAUGCACUAAUCAGUGGAUUUUGCAAGGCUUCUAGAGUAACAGAAGCACUGAGUCUUUAUGAAGAUAUGCAAGCCAGAGGUUUGAAUCCUGAUGAAAUCACCUUCAAAUUGAUUAUUGGAGGUCUCAUACAGGAGAAGAACCUCUCAGUGGCUUGUGCAAUCUGGGAUCAGAUGAUGGAAAAGGGUUUUACUCUUGACCGAGAUUUAUCUCAGACUCUUAUUAAUGCAAUCAACCCAUAGGUUGCACAGUAUCCUGAAUGAUUUGCAGCUUUUUCUGAAUUUGCUUACUCGUGAGACGAUUUGAGCAAUUUCUGCAUAAGUUGAUGAAACUAUUUUUAGGCAGAAGAAGGGAAAUACUAUAGUUGCCAAAAGACAGUUGUGUAAUUUGGAGAAAACUUUUGGUGGAUAUGCUAGCGUGCAUGAUCUCACUGCUCCCGUACUGGAUAUUUUCACCAAGGGGAAACCUGUGAAAGCAUCUUUACAGGCAAGUCUACUUUUAUUA